rnacentral:rRNA from 1 species
GACGAACGCUGGCGGCGUGCCUAAUACAUGCAAGUCGAACGCAUUUUCUUUCACCGUAGCUUGCUACACCGAAAGAAAAUGAGUGGCGAACGGGUGAGUAACACGUGGGUAACCUGCCCAUCAGCGGGGGAUAACACUUGGAAACAGGUGCUAAUACCGCAUAAUUCCAUUUACCGCAUGGUAGAUGGGUGAAAGGCGCUUUUGCGUCACUGAUGGAUGGACCCGCGGUGCAUUAGCUAGUUGGUGGGGUAACGGCCUACCAAGGCUGCGAUGCAUAGCCGACCUGAGAGGGUGAUCGGCCACACUGGGACUGAGACACGGCCCAGACCCCUACGGGAGGCAGCAGUAGGGAAUCUUCGGCAAUGGACGCAAGUCUGACCGAGCAACGCCGCGUGAGUGAAGAAGGUUUUCGGAUCGUAAAACUCUGUUGUUAGAGAAGAACAAGGAUGAGAGUGGAAAGUUCAUCCCUUGACGGUAUCUAACCAGAAAGCCACGGCUAACUACGUG